CGACCCUACCCUCGCGUAUUAUCCCCGUCCCCGUCUCGUCCCCGUCCAAACCCUAUCGAGAUAGCUUACGCGACCGGCGGCGAGCGAAGUGGCGGCGAGCGGAGCAGCGACGAGCGGAGUGGGUGCGGGAGGGGCGUGAAAGGCGGAGCAUCUUACCGGCGGGAGGGGAUGAAUCCCGCCUAGCCGCUCCAUAUCAGAUCGCCGCCGUACUUGGAGUCCGACCGGCGCCGCCGUUCUUGGUGUCCGACCGCCGCUGCCGUCCACUUCGGUUCCUCUCCGGGAUUAACAAAGAAGCUUAUCCAUCUUGUUUCUGCAAGUGAACAUUCUGGCAUUAUCUCCAAGUAAUUCAUUCAGUGGAGAGCUCCCACCUUCUUGGGAUCCUAUAGCAACACCAAAAUUCGGCUGGGUGCAGGAGGCAUCCACGGUGCGCUGAACCUCGUCCCCAAGACCCACCGCAGCUACCUCGACAUCAAAGUUCAGGAGAUCGUUGACAUCAGCAACAAUUUCUACCAGUGAUGGCACCUGUGAUGUGUGCUCACCUCUGAUGUUUGUCAAAAGACUGUUUGUUGUUGACCGGUGUAACCUGUUAUGAUAUUUUGUAGUGUCAUGGUUGCUCAGAAGUUGCAAGGUUCACAUGUUCUGUUGUCCGUGAUGAGAAUUGUGACAACAUGAGUUCCUUUUCCAGGAGUCUACUUUAUUUAGUCUUAGCAUAAAGAUUUGUAUCCUGGGUUUUGGACUUCUAGUCUCACUGCCGUAUUGGACCUGAUACAUAUGGACAUACAUAGUGAUAUAAAGGUUGUCAAAACCUCAAAUAAUGUUUAGUUCAGUUUUAAUGUUA